rnacentral:rRNA from 1 species
CGGAGAGUUUGAUCCUGGCUCAGGCUGNUNGCUGGCGGCGUGCCUAAUACAUGCAAGUCGAACGCUUUGUGGUUCAACUGAUUUGAAGAGCUUGCUCAGAUAUGAUGAUGAACAUUGCAAAGAGUGGCGAACGGGUGAGUAACACGUGGGAAACCUACCUCUUAGCAGGGGAUAACAUUUGGAAACAGAUGCUAAUACCGCAUAACAACUUGGACCGCAUGGUCCGAGUUUGAAAGAUGGCUUCGGCUAUCACUUUUGGAUGGUCCCGCGGCGUAUUAGCUAGAUGGUGAGGUAACGGCUCACCAUGGCAAUGAUACGUAGCCGACCUGAGAGGGUAAUCGGCCACAUUGGGACUGAGACACGGCCCAAACUCCUACGGGAGGCAGCAGUAGGGAAUCUUCCACAAUGGACGAAAGUCUGAUGGAGCAACGCCGCGUGAGUGAAGAAGGGUUUCGGCUCGUAAAACUCUGUUGUUAAAGAAGAACAUAUCUGAGAGUAACUGUUCAGGUAUUGACGGUAUUUAACCAGAAAGCCACGGCUAACUACGUGCCAGCAGCCGCGGUAAUACGUAGGUGGCAAGCGUUGUCCGGAUUUAUUGGGCGUAAAGCGAGCGCAGGCGGUUUUUUAAGUCUGAUGUGAAAGCCUUCGGCUCAACCGAAGAAGUGCAUCGGAAACUGGGAAACUUGAGUGCAGAAGAGGACAGUGGAACUCCAUGUGUAGCGGUGAAAUGCGUAGAUAUAUGGAAGAACACCAGUGGCGAAGGCGGCUGUCUGGUCUGUAACUGACGCUGAGGCUCGAAAGUAUGGGUAGCAAACAGGAUUAGAUACCCUGGUAGUCCAUACCGUAAACGAUGAAUG